AGUUUUGUGCAGUGGCAGUAUCAUAGCCAAUGAGGUUUAUCUGAGGAGCGAUUAUUGCUAAUUGAAAACUUUUCCCUGUACCCCGCCAUGACAACUUGCAAUACAGUCGGCACUGGCAAUUUUUGACAGUCUCUUUGGAGA
ensembl:snRNA U4 U4 spliceosomal RNA